rnacentral:snoRNA from 1 species
GGUCUUCUGGUGUUUACCACAGCCUGUGUUCUUACACUAUAUAUAAAGAGGAGGCAAAGUAAACCUAUCCUAUAUACAUCUCAGCCCAGGCCCUGUCCCUGGCAGUCUUUAUUGUGAAUGCGGAGAUGGGA